CCCCGUCAUCUCCGGGGGGACUUACCGAUCUUCAAAUCGCGAGGGUACUCAUCUUGAGGCGCAUUUCCCACUUAGAUGCUUUCAGCGGUUCUUGCUUCCGCACAUAGCUACGGAGCCUGCUGGUCGCCCAACAACUCCUCCACCAGCGGUGCGUCCACGCCGGUCCUCUCGUACUAGGCGCAGCCCCCCUCAAUACCCUAAACGCCCAUAGCGGAUAGAGACCGAACUGUCUCACGACGUUCUGAACCCAGCUCGCGUGCCGCUUUAAUGGGCGAACAGCCCAACCCUUGGGACCUGCUCCAGCCCCAGGAUGCGACGAGCCGACAUCGAGGUGCCAAACCCUGCCGUCGCUGUGAACGCUUGGGCAGGAUCAGCCUGUUAUCCCCGGGGUAGCUUUUAUCCGUUAAGCUACGGCCGUUCCACUUCGGGCCGUAGGAUCACUAAGGCCGACUUUCGUCCCUGCGCGGCUUGUGUGCCUUGCAGUCAAGCACCCUUGUGCCUUUGCACUCGCCCGCGGGUUGCCAUCCCGCGUGAGGGUACCUUUGCACGCCUCCGUUACAUUUUGGGAGGCGACCGCCCCAGUCAAACUCCCCACCAGCCACGGUCCCCAAUUGCUCGGGUGAGUGGGCUAUCGUACACAGAGUGGUAUUUCACCGCUGCCUCCCCGACCCCCGCAAGGACCGGUUCACAGGCUCCCACCUAUGCUACGCAGUGCACGAUCGCACACAAUGGCAAGCUAGAGUAAAGCUCCACGGGGUCUUUUUGUCCUGCUAUGGGUUGACGGCGUCUUUACCGUCACCGCAGUUUCGCCGAGCCCCUGGUCGAGACACUGCCCAGAUCGUGAUGCCUUUCGUGCGGGUCGGAACUUACCCGACAAGGAAUUUCGCUACCUUAGGACUGUUAUAGUUACAGCCGCCGUUCACCGGGGCUUCGGUUCAGAGCUUGCACCCUUCCCCUUAACCUUCCGGCACUGGGCAGGCAUCAGCCCCUAUACGUCGGCUUACGCCUUCAGCAGGGACCUGUGGUUCUGUUAUCCAGUCGCCUGGGCCUGGUUUGUGCCACUGCCCCCCGCUCACCUCGCCUGGAGGGUCACGGGUUGCAGUCUCCCUUCUUCCAAAGGUACGGGAGUAAUUUGCCGAGUUCCUUAACCAGGGAUCACUCGUCCACCUUAGCUUGCUCAGCCAGUCUACCUGUGUCGGUUUGCGGUACGGGCACCCGAGCCCUCCGUAGCCGGCCUUUCUCGCCAGUAUGGGGUCACGUCACUUGGCGUCCCACCAAGGUGGGCACCUCGCCUUCACGCCUCAGGGCUUGUGCGGUGCAUUUCCACACCUCACCCCCUACACGCUUGGACGGCGCUCGUCUCGCCGCUGUCGCUACCCUCCUGUUUCCGGCAUUCGUCAAACGGUCUCUGGGUGGUACGGGAAUGUCUACCCGUUGUCCAUCGGUUGUGGCUCGCGCCUACCCCUUAGGCCCGACUAACCCGCCGCGGAUCAGCCUUGCGGCGGAACCCUCAGACUUCCGGUGGUGGGGGUUCGCACCCCACUUCGCUGCUACUCGUUCCGGCAUUCGCACUCGUGGUCGCUCCACCAGGGCUUUCGCUCUGACUUCGCGGCAACCACGACGCUCCCCUACCGUGUUAGAAACCUAACACCCUGAGCUUCGGUAGUAAGCUUGGCCCCGUUACAUUGUCGGCGCAUCGUCACUCGACCAGUGAGCUGUUACGCACUCUUUCAAGGGUGGCUGCUUCUAAGCCAACCUCCUGGUUGUCUGGGCGACGACACAUCCUUUCCCACUCAGCUUACAUUUGGGGACCUUAGCUGCAGGUCUGGGUUGUUUCCCUUUUGACGACGGAUCUUUGCACUCGCCGUCUCACUCCGGAGGUCCCGGUCAACGCAUUCGGAGUUUGCCGUCGCUUGGUAAGCGGUGAAGCCCCCGCACAACAACAGUGCUCUACCUCGUUGACCUCGUACUCCAGGCUGUACCUCAAUACAUUUCGGGGAGAACCAGCUAUCUCCGCUUUCGAUUGGCAUUUCACCCCUAUCCACAUGUCAUCCGAGCCUUUUGCAACAGACACCGGUUCGGGCCUCCACGUCCUGUUACGGACGCUUCACCCUGCACAUGGAUAGCUCAAGCGGUUUCGGGUCUACCCCCAGCAACAUAACGCGCUGUUCACACUCGCUUUCGCUCUGGCUCCGUCUGUCACUGACUUAACCACGCUACUAAGGGUAACUCGCCGGAUCAUUCUCCAAAAGGCACGCCGUCAGGCGGUUCUUGCGAACCUCGCCCUCCGACUGCAUGGAAGCAAACGGUUUCAGGGUCUAUUUCACUCCCCUCGCCGGGGUACUUUUCACCGUUCCCUCACGGUACUGUUCACUAUCGGUCGCAACGUGUAGUUCGCCUUGGGGAGUGGGCUCCCCGGUUUCACGCCGGAUUGCACGUGUCCGGCGCUACUCAAGAACAGGUGCACGCGGGUGAGCGAUUACCUUACCCGGCUGUCACGGUCUAUGGCGGCGCGUUCCAGACGCCUUCAGGUUCACCGUCCUCAUACGUGUGGGUGUCAGUAGCCACCCGCCACCUGCCUUACAACCCCGCCACCGCAACGCCUACUGGCUUGACACGGUAGCGGUUUGGGCUGCCCCCCGUUCGCUCGCCGCUACUAAGGGGAUUUUGCUACUUCCUCCGGGUACUGAGAUGUUUCAGUUCGCCGGGUUCCCUCCCACGAAAAGUGGGUCAUCACCGCAGUGAUGGGGUUGCCCCAUUCGGACAUCGCGGGAUCACAGCCUGCUCACGGCUCCCCCACGCUUAUCGCAGGUAUGCCACGUCCUUCAUCGGCACGUUGCGCCAAGGCAUUCCCCG
rnacentral:rRNA from 3 species